rnacentral:tRNA from 1 species
GGGGCCUUAGCUCAGUUGGGAGAGCGCUUGCAUGGCAUGCAAGAGGUGAGGGGUUCGAAUCCCCUAGGCUCCA